UGGGGAAUAUUGCACAAUGGAGGGAACUCUGAUGCAGCGACGCCGCGUGAACGAAGAAGGCUUUCGAGUCGUAAAGUUCUUUUAUAUGGGAAGAUAAUGACGGUACCAUAAGAAAAAGCCCCGGCUAACUACGUGCUAGCAGCCGCGGUAAUACGUAGGGGGCUAGCGUUGUCCGGAAUCACUGGGCGUAAAGGGUUCGCAGGCGGAAAUGCAAGUCAGGUGUAAAAGGCAGUAGCUUAACUACUGUAAGCAUUUGAAACUGCAUAUCUUGAGAAGAGUAGAGGUAAGUGGAAUUUUUAGUGUAGCGGUGAAAUGCGUAGAUAUUAAAAAAAAUACCGGUGGCGAAGGCGGCUUACUGGGCUCAUUCUGACGCUGAGGAACGAAAGCGUGGGUAGCAAACAGG
rnacentral:rRNA from 1 species